CAUAUUUUCAAUUAAAUCCUCGUUGAAAACCUGAAGCACCGCAUUAUCUUUUCAUCAAUUUCUUUUUUUCAAUCUCUUUUUGUGAUUUGAAUUUCGCUUUGCAAGGUUUUAAAAGGGGGACUGUCUGAUUGAACGUGAAGAAUGAGGAUUGAGGCCGACACUGACACUGAGAGACGAAAACUAGAGGAGCGAAUGAGAUUAGAUACCCCGGUAAUUCUAGUCGUAGACGAUGGAUACUAGACGCUGUGUGUAUCGACCCGUGCAGUGCUGCAGCUAACGCGUUAAGUAUCGCUCCUAGGGAGUACGUUCACAAGAAUAAAAUUCAAAGGAAUUGACAGGGGCUUUUCCCCCGGAGAAGUUAAAGGCAAAGACCAGUUGAUGUAAUUCUGCAAAUUAAUUAUUCUGGCUACAUCUCUUUCUUGGAUAAUAUUUAGAAGUUGAAUUAUAAGCUUCACUACCUCCACA
rnacentral:rRNA from 1 species